UCAAACUUUUGUAAGAGGAUGAACUGCCUUAAGCUCAAAAGCGAUCACAUGCCAAAUUCUAGAAUAGAGUUUGGUCACUAUGGGAAAUCCUUCUCUCCCAUUCUCAAAGAGUUAAUGUUUUGGCAGCAUUUCUGGGAAAUAGAUUCUGCUGAAUGCACAGUAGAAGCAAAGGCCUGGCUGUCUGAGGGAGUCCCUGCUGACAUUCAGCUGCAGCCCACGCAAAGAAGCUGAAAAAAGGGCUAAUGUCAGGUGUCCAGCAGGGCUGGCAUAAAACAGAACUUGCUGAUUCCAGAAACACCACAUAUUCCCCGAUUUCUCAGGAGAUGCUGUGUUUCCUUUAGGAACAGGAGGAAUACGUCAUAGAAUAUAUUACAGUAAAAAAAGAUUGAGAGCUGUGGCUGGGAACAGAUGAGAAUUCAUUCCUCAUUUCUUCAGACAAAUCUGUAGAUGCUAUUUCCCAGAGGCCAAAAUCUAUAUUGUUAUAAACCUGCUGUCAAAUAACUGGACGAAAGCAAAAGGAAAAAGCUUACAUCUUGACAAUCGGCACGGGAAGCAUUGCCUACUCCUCUCUCUGAAGAUAAAAGUGGGACAGUCUUUGUGAAGGCUGCAAAUGAACCACACUGUGGACAGCACUGAGACAAAACAGAUGCCAAGAUAAGUUUUGUGGACAGAAGACUUGUACAUCUUAAGCAACACAGAAACUCUGAACAUAUUUCUAUGAAGCCACCCCACAAACCUGAAUUUCAUAAUGCUUGCACUCCUUUUAGAUCCCAUCUACCAGCAGCAUGUUUUGUCAUUACAACACUCCCACAGCUAACACUGCUUGGACACACCCUUGCAUGAGACUGUCAGAAGACUAUCCACAAACUCAGGAUGGAAAUUAAGCAUCCCAAAUUCCUGACCAUUCAUACACAUUUCUCCCUUCUAAUCAGACCUCCUAACACCCUAGUCCAGCAGAAUAAAACUCAGUUAAUGCAGCUGGAAAUUAUACGUCUGUGCUCCAACAGCUAUUUCUAAGUAAUGAGCACAACCAGGCAAGCACACCUAAGCUUUCAGGGUCAUUUGGAUUCAGUGUUAGAGGAAAACUGGCUUUUUAUAUUAUUUUGGUUUGCUCUUUUUAGAAACUUCUGUAUACAAAUACACUGGUCUUGGGGAACAAGAUAUGAAAAAACAAGCUUCUGUUUUCUUUAUGCCCUUUGCUACUGGAAGUAGAUAGCCAUUUGCCAUCUUGCUCUGCCACAGACUAAUUGCUGUUUACAUUUGCACUCCCAAGCAAAUCUUUUUAGAAUAUCUACCUAAAUAGGUAAUUUGUAUACAGAACAGUUAACAUUUGAAGCAUUUUAGCGAGGCUAAAAGCUUAUCAGUGAAGUUUUAGAAUCCUUCUGAUCACACCCAAGCUAUUAGGUACAGGUAGGCCCUGGAAAGUGGGAUGGAAACUCCUUCAAAAAGCUCAUACAAGUUUCCCGACUAGCAGGGCAAAACAUUGUUCGAGAGGAGGCAGUGCUCAACAGACUCUACACUGCCUCCUCUUUUUAUGAGGAAAGGUUGGGGGA